UUUCUCUCUAGGGCUCUUCUAGGGUUUAUGAAUGUUCAUGGGACCUUGUUGGACCCUUGUGCAAGGGGCAGUUUGGUGAUAUGAAAUGCCUUCUUACUGUGGAGCAAGCUAAGACAAAGGAAUGAGUGCCACUCAAGACUCAGCAGGUACAUGCUGGCAACAGAGGAGUGCAGAGCUUGUCAUGCUAUUCUGCUUCAUAAACCUGUGUCCUUGAAGUCUCCUGCAUCCCUGCCCUGUCAGACUGAUUUAUGCAGUAGCCAUGUUUGUCAAAGUAUUUGGCACCAAUGACAUCAUCUUUGUUGAAAUGCUGGACAGCAUGAUGAAUCCCAGAUGUUAAUGCACACCAAAAGUUAAGGGAGAAUGAAAUAUAAAGAUCAACUGUAACAGCUAUGGAGGGCUGUACUCAGUUUACAUCUGAUGUUCAUACAUGAAGAAUACAGGAUUUUUUCAAGGUUCCUAAAGCUGUUGAGACUUACAAGUGAGUUUUUCAGAUACCCUUACAAAACCCAACAUGUCCACAGAGUUUUGCUAGAUUUCAUUUUCAAAAUUACUUAUGUUAGGGGUCUAAUUCACAGUUCUGAAAGCAGCUUGGAUGCUUAGUACAUUAGAUCUCACUGACCUUCAAAGGGACAUCUAAGCAUUUAUGGUCAGAUACUGAAUGUAAGAGGAGCCUGGUAGGAUUCUUUUUAUAGUGUUUCAUCACCUCAAUCCCUUUGAAAUCACUUUAAACAUUUACCUUCAAUUUAAAAAAUGGGGCAUGGAUCUAAAUCAUAUGUGUACUUAAGAAAAUACUACCUGUAAUUUAUUUAAACCUUGUGAAUACUCCAGGAAAAAAGGUGUGUUGUGGAUGCAGUGUGUUAGUAGGAAAUGUGUGCCACGAAUUUUGGGACAAAUCUUGGGGUUUUGCCACUGAUGUGUCAUUUUUAGUCAUUACUUGCUGAGCUGUAUCAUUAGAAAUCUGGGUCACAUAGGCCAUGUUUAAAUUACAUAUCAGAUGACCCAAGUGUUUAAAGCAAGCUGGUGUAAUUCAGCAUCACUUUAAGCAAUUUAUGCCAUUGAAGAUAAACCCCCUCAAAGUCCUGCAUCUUCCUGAGUGGAAUUAUUUCACCUUCUCAAGUCUUUUCUUACAUCUCAUUUUAGUCAAGAUGCCCUACCUUCCAAUCCCUGGCUUAUCUGACUGGUUUGUGGCACUGAUGCAAUUACUGUCUCCAUAUGCACUCCACCAUAACAGUUAUGAUAAUACAGUAUCCUAUCAUGUAAUAAAAUAUUCCACAAUAUAAUGUUUUUUUCUAUUCUUUAGAGUCAUUUUUAUUUGCUGCAUAUGUUUUAAAAUAGAAUAGGUUUUCUAACAGCUUUGCCAGUUUUGCUUAAAUUUUUUUCAUACCUGUGUCUGUUUUCCAGCAGUCAUUCCCUUUCCCUUCCAUCCUUAUGUUCACAGAGCUGUGCUGUGACAUGCUGAAAAAUGUUUACUAAGGUGAUUAAAAGUCAUGUUCAAAGUUAUUGAUUGCACAUCCAGUGACUUCUUGCCAGACCACUAUAUUUAUACCAAACUGUGUUAUUAGACUCUCUGCUAGCCCAGCUUUAGUGCAGUGGCUUUUCAUCAGUUCUGCUUAAAAUACAUUGAAAAACAUUUUCCAGAAGCCAUGCAUGUGAUGUCAAGUACAGGCUUUGCAGCUGUCUCUGUACUUCUUAGAAAGGUGAAAAAGCAAUGACUUAACACUCUGUACCACCCAAGUCAGAUUUUUGUUUUCUAAGGUCACCUUAUCUUUGUAGAUCUUUGAAAAUUAUCAUGAAUAUUUAUGAUGGCAUCAAAAAAUCAAGCAGCAGCAAAUUGUUUACAACAUUUUUAAGAAUGUGAAACCAGCUUCUACUAUAAAUCAAAUACAUCUGCUAGAACUGGAUGAAAAUUGAAAGCUCUUUGGUUCCAUCCUCUCCUCUUAUGUACCUGAGAGCUGAAAAAUCAUCAGUAGCAUGAUUCCAAAACACUAAUAUGGACUGUAUAGAUAAAAGGUAAAACCUGGAGUAAAGUAUCAAAUUAAUCAUUCUAAAGAUGGCACAUGAAAGUAUUUUAAUUAAAUAUUAAUCUGAAAUAGAUGGCAUAAAACUUUGUGGAAACUUUCAAAAUGUUGAAUCACAUUCUGUCUAUAAUUUUAUCUCAUUAUGGUUUUUUCCUGCCUUUAGAAAAAAUACCUUCUUCUAUCACACAGCAGUUCAGAUGUGCAUAUUUGAAAAAAGUGCACAUUAAAAAUGUACACAAUAUUGUCUUCAAAUAUUUGUUGGAUUUUUCUUCUACAGAACCAUGAUUUACAAUCUGCUAAAAAUUUAAUAGCUAGCUGGAGAAAUAGGCAGAAGUAAACAAUUUUAAAUCCUGGUGCUGCUGCCAAAUUGGUAUUUGGAUGACAUUAAUUGUAUGAAAACAUCAAAAUAUUUGGUUUCAUUCAAACUGGAGGAAUAAUGUGUGUGCUUUAGAUGAGGCAUACUAUUUGCCUAAAAAUUAUCUUGAAUGAAAAGAAAAACUCUUCAGUCCCCAGGACUACGAUUUUCAAAGAUUUUUUUGCCAAGUGCUGCCACCAGAGCUGUGGUUACAUCAGCCUCAGCCUGCAGCUCUGCACGGGCUCACAUGUCAGGGGGCAGAUCCUUGCAUAUCACUUGUGGUAUGUGGAUUGCAACUUGGGAGUGCUGUAUUGACGCUCUUAAUCCAUUAAAAUGCAACUCUGCUAAUAAACAAUCUGAUUUAGAGACUACAGUGUCAUUUUACCUCUCUUUGGGAGGUUUCAUAUUUUCUGUAUUUGGUUUCUCCAUUUCUCCCGACCCAUUAAGUGCUACUUGCACUGUCCCUUGGUUUUUCACUGAAAUACUUUUGACUUGGAAAGCAUGUGGUAUUUUAAAUGUCUAAAGAAUAAUUCAGAGACAUGUAUGCUCAGAGGUGCCUGUCCACUUUGCAAGGGGAUCUUUGCUGUCUGCCAUAUAGUUCAGUCUGUUCAAGAGGUGGAACAUUUCUUUUCCUGCUGCCCAGUGUUACAGACAGUCACAGACCAUCCAGCCCUGAGCAGCACUGCAUUACAAUUCAAGUAAACCUCCUUCAACCAGCAUGCAAGCCUUCAUCAGAGGGCAAAACGCUAGUCUGAGGGGAUAAUAACUGAGACAUUAUUUUAAUAAGGACCAUUUUUAAAUGUUAAGAAUGACUUGUUUUAAUUGAAGGAGAGGAAAGGAACUCCUACCAAGAGUCAAAGAGAUCCCCCAGAGUUCUCUGAAGUUUUCAAAUUGUCUUAUAUAGAAAUGCCUGAGUAUCAGAAAUGAACGAAGGUUAUAAAAUCUUUCCAUCCAUCUCACUGUAAAGUUCAUCUGAGGAGGUUAUUCUGUUCUACUGUUAAAAAUUUGGCUUUAGUUUAAAUUGAGAUGCCUGACCACUCUCUUUACUGAAGACAAAUCAUGAGAUUCAUUUCAUAGACCCAACUUUUGCUGAGUUUGUGUAAGCAGGGAUGCAGAAUAAUUACCAUUCAUCCAUUCUUUUCAAUCUCCUAUACAAUAUCCACCUGUUCUGUCAGACAGCAGGAAUGUUUGCCACAAAUACAGAAUACUGCAGUGACAGCAGCAGGUGUAUGGCAGCAACAACUAAUCAAAUCAGCUGAAUUGGAGGUGUGAGCCACAUUGCACUUCUGUGCAGUGAAAAUGAGCAGAAAGGACAGAGCUAAACGGUGGGGAAUUUUUGUUUUGUUUUAUUUUUAAGAUCUUGCUUUUACAUUAUAGGCAGUGCAACUGCUAAGUGCAAGGAAAAAUAAUGAGGACUUGAAAAGAAAAUGACACUUCAUUCUUCCUGCAAAGGACAGGCAGAGUGACAUAGGUAUAAGAGACACCCAUUGUAAUCACUCUCAAAAAGCAAGGCAUGGGUUUUGAUUUUCCUAAAGAAGCAAAUGCAAAAGAACUCUUGUCUGUACCAUAUGACUCAUGAUGCUUCUUUACCAGGCUUAAAGAGAAUUGAACUUGAGUAAUAGCACCAUUAGAGCUCUUUACCAGGAGCUAGUUCCUGUGGUUUCACUGGGUCCAGCUGCUGAUGACUCACAGAGGAAGUGGCAGAGAUUAGGUACACAGGGAAAAAAUCAGAACAGCUCAGAAAUAAAGCAAAUCAACCAAGCAUUACCUUUUGUGCACAACAGAACAAUGGCUUAACAACUAAGGUUCAAAAUGAUCUGUCUUAUUCCCCUCAUUUGUGCUAUUCCUGUUGGAAAGACCACCAGGAAACAUGUGAACCACUGUGGAAUACACACUGUAAUCCAUGGAACAUCUCAAUUAAUAUUCCCUCUUGACUACAGCUAGAACAAUGCAUAGCAUCAAGAAGUUUAAUCUCCGGCAAUAAUGCCUUUUGUAAGAUCAAGAGGUCUUUCCCUUGAAUUAAGGUUUAAGUGAGGAUUUUGAAAAUUAGUUAGAUAUUCUGCAUAGUGUCUGGUGGUGGCUACAGGUUCCAUAGCUAGGUAAAAUGCAAAGAAACAGUCUGGUUUUUGUUAGAAAUAUUGUUGUUAGUAGUUUCUCCUUUGUAAAUUGGCGUUGGUGUCCUGUAGAAGAGAAUUAUUUCCUCCAAAAGGCUUUGUUGCAAACAAAUAUAUUCAAGAUUUUAUAAAAUGUAUACAUUGUCUCUGGUAUUCAGUUUUGUGCUACAAAAAAAGUACGUCCCCAGCAGCAAAAAGUUUAAAUAUCUGACUUGGAAGGUACAGGAGGAAAUAUUCAGGAUCUGCUUAAAGUUCUAUUGUACAGUAUUGCUGUUGUUAGAUCACAUCACUACAGUCUCACAUACGUAGCUCAGGGGAUGUUUUCUUCUUGGAAAUUGAAACCAGUUUAAGCUCUAAACUGCUUGGGAGGAGUUCUUUCUGAGUUGCUAUAGAUUAAUAAAGUAGCUUAUUAGAAAAAUCUAUUAUUAUUUUGACUAGAUUAUGCCAGUUCUCUAAUUUUUUUUAAAUUAAUAUUAUGCACUAAGAGCACCCUAGGAAAAAUAAUUGGUGAUUUUGCUACAUCAGCGAUUUAUCUUUGUUUUUAAAAAUAAUUUGGAAUAGAAAAUUUCAUCCGCAUUCCUCUUCUUAUUUUCCAUAAGAGUUUCAGAGGCAAGAUCAGUUAGUAAUUAUUCAGAGAUGCAUUUUAUAAAGAUUUGCUGUAGUGAUUAAUGUACAACAAUUCACAACCACCUUUUCAGAUUAUCAUGUAUCACUUUACAUGUUUACCAUCAGCUGGCAUAUCAAACCCCACAAGGUGACUCAGUGACACUGGUGCAUGGACUCUGCCACACAGAGUUUUGAAAAGGCCCACACUGCCCUGAGUUUCAGGUGUGCUCUAGUUUAUGCAAUAAGCACUUGAAAAAAUAUUGCCAAUAAAACAGAUGCUUCUCCUAGUGUUUUUCUGCAUGGAGGCCAAAUAUGAAUUCACUCCUUGGCCUCUGUUCUCCCCAGUGCCAGGGCUGCAUUGUGUGCAGUGAGCACUAAAGGCUGCAUUUGGGACAAUGAUGGCUGUGCUGUGCAUGGGGAGGUGCCAAGUCUGCAGCACAUGGGGUGCCCGGGGGGUGUGUGGGGGUGCUGCUGACCUGGGGCACCAGGGGCCCUGGGGAGAGCUGCACCAGCUGUCCUGGAAGGCAUGGAAUUCCUCUUCCCUGAAUGCAGCCACAUGGUCUUCAUGCACUCAGGAGCACAUGGAUGGAUAAGGUCAGUUGAUUUACUUUUCUGUCUUAAAAGUCCUUUAUUUCUGUUUAAAUAUUUUCAGACAUCUCAUCUAAAUUGACUCUUUGGCACAUAGGUGAAGAUGAAAGAGAUGAAACCUUAUUCCUAUCAAUGCCAUACAUAUAGAUUGAGGGGGCAGGGGAAGUGAAAUGGAGUUAAUAUGCAUUAGAAAUUGUUUCUUUGAUACUGUUAUGCUAUCCCUUUAAGAUAUGCUAAUAUGAACUUCUGUCAAUACAACAUCACUUAGUUGGUUUUCAUCUGGACCUUAGAGCACAACAAAAUUAUUAGUACAUAAAUCUCUACUAAUUUACUCUAGAUUAUGAUUCUUUCAUCAACAUGCACAUAUAAAUUAUAUCAUUAAUCAUAAUGAUUUCUGUCCGUAUUCAUAUGUAGUUUCUUGGGAAUCCCAGUGUAAUUCAGCAUGAAUUAAUGUCCACUUAUUGGAAAGCACUACCUACAUUGAUGUUUCUAGGGGAAAAAACCAACAACUGUGAUACAUCUUAAACUACAGCCUAAAUGACCGGGGUGCUGGUAAACAACCACCAAAGGAGUGUCGCCACAGGUAAAGAAAAGUUGUCUUAAAAGCAGUUUGUUCCAAAGCUCAUUAGGCCAGAUGGCAGCCUGGCUUCAGGAGCACAUAAAGCACUUCUGAGGGAAUGGGGGGACUCCUCCCUCCUUCACCCUGCCCUGGGGAAGAGCAGUGUGAAUACCCAGAGUGAGGGGAGAGCUGGAGCAGGGGGCAUUGCUAGGCACUGGAGGAGGCAGUGCAAAACCAUCAGCUGCACUUUGUUGAUAGGAUAGAAGCAAUAAUAACAACUCCAUCAAUCAACAGGUAACACUUCCUAAUUUGCCUCAAUUAUAAAUUUUGUGGAGAGAAGCAGCAGUAUUCAUCCACUUUUCUGCAGAGUGGAUUUUAGCCAUGAAUUUCAUGCUUAGAAGUGGCUGGCCCAUUGAUUAAAGAGGUCAAGGACCUGUGGGUGAGAUGCCUUGGCCUCAGUUUCCCUCACCUAAGAAAUGCAGCUGCCUCCUUGAGAAGUGCUGUGCCCUUUCUGGAGGUGAAGUAGGAUACUACUUAAUCUAGCUAUCAAAUAUAUAAAUGGAACAUACAUAUAUACAUAUGCAUGCUUCAUAAGUGAGACAGUGAGGGGGAAAAAAAGGAACUUCUGACUAUAACGAAAGAUUCAUUAGGAAAAAUGAACUAAUCAGUGCUCUCCAAGGAGAAAUUCAUUCUGUUUAGGAGGCCGUACCCUCUGCUGCUGCACAUACUUAAUAUAAUUUAUAUUAUUAUUUAAAUCACUGCGUAAAUUUUAGAUACUUUUAAAAAUCAAGUUAAUGGACCAUACUUUACUGCUUAGCAUCAUUUAUAUCAA